rnacentral:rRNA from 1 species
UACGUAGGGGGCAAGCGUUGUCCGGAAUCAUUGGGCGUAAAGCGCGUGUAGGCGGCCAGGUAAGUCCGUUCUGAAAGCCCGGGGCUCAACCCCGGGAGCGGAUGGAUACUGCUUGGCUCGAGUCCGGAAGAGGCGAGUGGAAUUCCCGGUGUAGCGGUGAAAUGCGCAGAUAUCGGGAGGAACACCAAUGGCGAAGGCAGCUCGCUGGGACGGUACUGACGCUGAGACGCGAAAGCGUGGGGAGCAAACA